rnacentral:rRNA from 1 species
UACGUAGGGUGCGAGCGUUGUCCGGAAUUAUUGGGCGUAAAGGGCUCGUAGGCGGUUUGUCGCGUCGGGAGUGAAAACAUCCAGCUUAACUGGGUGCUUGCUUUCGAUACGGGCAGACUUGAGGUAUGCAGGGGAGAAUGGAAUUCCUGGUGUAGCGGUGAAAUGCGCAGAUAUCAGGAGGAACACCGGUGGCGAAGGCGGUUCUCUGGGCAUUACCUGACGCUGAGGCGCGAAAGCUAGGGGAGCAAACAGG